rnacentral:lncRNA from 1 species
UUGAAAUCAAAAUUCAGAUUGAAGGGGACAGUAUGCUCAGUUUUUGACCUGAAAUCCUAUCUUCAUCCUCUUUAUUUAAAUUGUUGUGCAGAACACCAAAACGAAAAAAAAAAAGAGGAAAAACAGAGAAAAACCAGUCAGCCAUCUCCAAUCCACCGUAGCUCCACUGUAUUCACAAAAUCUCCCAUCCCACCACUACCAAUUGCAGAAGCUAACCGAUUUAGCUACCACCCUCACCCUUGGCUGCCAUCCACUACCUAUACCAGUCACCAAACAUGACCUUAUCCUCCCACCAUUCGAGCCACAGUGACCAGCAAAUCAGUUUGAAAAUAACAAAGUCGCUCACAUAGCCAUUUAGAAUCAGCAUCUAAAAUGACCACCACCUCACCAUCUCCUUUGUUGGAACACCCCUGCCUCAAUUGAAAGCACUCAUUAUCAGAGACCAAAGCUCAGCAAUUUCAUCAGGAUACCACACCUAGUAAUUGACUAUACUCAGCAAUCACAAAAACAGUCAACUCAAACACACAAGCAAACACAAUUUCAAAGAAAACCAAAGCCACAUCACCAAAACCAUCAACAGUCCACUCACCCAACAAUCAGAAAAAUCACUAGUUAGCAACAGAAAUCCCAUCGCCCACAGAAACCCAUAUCAACAACACACCCAGAGAAUGAACAAAAAAAGUAAUCGAGCUACAUCCAAACCCCUUCCGCCAUUAUCCUUAACUCUAC